GAUGAACGCUGGCGGCGUGUCUAAUACAUGCAAGUCGAGCGAACAGAUAAGGAGCUUGCUCCUUUGACGUUAGCGGCGGACGGGUGAGUAACACGUGGGUAACCUACCUAUAAGACUGGAAUAACUCCGGGAAACCAGGGCUAAUGCCGGAUAACAUUUAGAACCGCAUGGUUCUAAAGUGAAAGAUGGUUUUGCUAUCACUUAUAGAUGGACCCGCGCCGUAUUAGCUAGUUGGUAAGGUAACGGCUUACCAAGGCAACGAUACGUAGCCGACCUGAGAGGGUGAUCGGCCACACUGGAACUGAGACACGGUCCAGACUCCUACGGGAGGCAGCAGUAGGGAAUCUUCCGCAAUGGGCGAAAGCCUGACGGAGCAACGCCGCGUGAGUGAUGAAGGUCUUCGGAUCGUAAAACUCUGUUAUUAGGGAAGAACAAAUGUGUAAGUAACUGUGCACGUCUUGACGGUACCUAAUCAGAAAGCCACGGCUAACUACGUG
rnacentral:rRNA from 1 species